UACGAAGGGUGCAAGCGUUACUCGGAAUUACUGGGCGUAAAGCGUGCGUAGGUGGUUUGUUAAGUCUGUUGUGAAAGCCCCGGGCUCAACCUGGGAAUGGCAAUGGAUACUGGCAAGCUAGAGUGCGGUAGAGGGUAGUGGAAUUCCCGGUGUAGCGGUGAAAUGCGUAGAUAUCAGGAGGAACAUCGGUGGUGUAGACGGCUUUCUGGACCGCAACUGACGCUGAGACACGAAAGCGUGGGUAGCAAACAGG
rnacentral:rRNA from 1 species